AUUGAACGCUGGCAGCGUGGAUGAGGCAUGCAAGUCGAACGAAGUUAAAGUAGCUUGCUACUUUGACUUAGUGGCGGAAGGGUUAGUAAUGCAUGGGUAACCUACCUUUAACUUGGGAAUAACGGCUGGAAACGGCCGCUAAUACCGAAUGUGGUGGGGUGCGGCAACGCACCUUCAUUAAAGUGGGGGAUCUUAGGACCUCACGGUUGACGAGGGGCCCAUGUGAUAUCAGCUAGUUGGUGAGGUAAUGGCUCACCAAGGCUAAGACGUCUAGGCGGGUUGAGAGAUCGACCGCCAACACUGGGACUGAGACACUGCCCAGACUCCUACGGGAGGCUGCAGUCGAGAAUCAUUCGCAAUGGGCGAAAGCCUGACGAUGCGACGCUGCGUGAGCGAUGAAGGCCCUCGGGUCGUAAAGCUCUUUCGCCUGGGAACAAGGAAUGGCGGCUAAUAUCCGCCAAACUUGAGGGUACCAAGUAAAGAAGCACCGGCUAACUCCGUGCCAGCAGCCGCAGUAA
rnacentral:rRNA from 1 species